rnacentral:lncRNA from 9 species
AUGUGCAGCGGGUUUCUCACGGCCCCGGGGGUGGCGGGCAGUAAGUUUUGGCUGGGGCCGUUUUACACUGCCAGGCUUUCCUUUACUCAGCUACUGGCCAAGGAAGCGAGCGGCGCAGGGGGUCGCUCACUGGAAAGGGUCAGUGCAACCAGAGCAAACACUGCUGAUUUUGAACGCUCACCGCGAGCAGACUUCAAAGACAGGUCUCACAUCCUCCCGGUUCCGUCCGCGGAACUCGGCCACUCGCCCUGCCGGUCGCAGCGUGGAGCCAGGCAACCCACCUGCGCCCGGCAGUCAGCUCUCGCCUGCAGGAGUUUGCACACUUGGCGCUCAGGCCCACGCCCUCGGAGUUGGAUUGUGCGCACCGAGCCAAUGAGCUCGCCUGGGGAGAGAUCGGCUCUCCCCGCGCGCGCUGAUUGGUCCCACGACCGGCGAGGCCGAGCAGGCGGGCAGCAGCUGCGGGCUGCAGCGAGAGCCCGGCGCGAGUGGGAGUGGCGCGGGCGCCCCCCGCCGCCCUGUCCCUCCCCUCCGCGUUCCCUCCCUCUUUCCCUCCCUCCCUCUCUCCCUCCUCGCACUCCCCGGCUCUGGCCGCGCGCUGGCGGGGCUCCGCAUUGCACACUCUGGGGGCGCCGCAGUGUUCGUGGGAUGGGGCAGCGGGCUGCCGCUGGCGGCCGGAAUCCGCGUGCAGCCCGGGUCGGGCCCUUCUAAUCUGGAAAACCCAACAGAGGGAUGUUUAAAGGCCAAAGGCUUGAAUCAGGUGAGAGUCCUCUUUCGUCGUCCUAAGUCCCCACUCCUGGGCCCCCUGGAUGAGUGACUCCUGGCUCUGCCAUGGAGGCUGGCCCUGCCCUGGCCUGGCUCCUGCUCCUGAGUCUGCUGGCUGAUUGUCUGAAAGCUGCCCAGUCCCGAGACUUCACCGUGAAAGACAUUAUCUACCUCCACCCUUCAACCACACCAUAUCCUGGUGGAUUUAAGUGUUUCACCUGCGAAAAGGCAGCAGACAAUUAUGAGUGCAACCGAUGGGCACCAGAUAUCUACUGUCCUCGAGGUAAACUCUCCAUGGACAUACUGGGCUCCCCAGAGCUGUCCACAAGUGAACAGCCUACUGACCUCGAUGCGUGUGUAGAGAGAGGCAGGCUUGCAAUCUCAGCCACGUCUCUUGUCUAAGGCUAUUAGUAGAUCUUUUGUGUCACAUCAGUAACAUAUCAUCAGACACUGUCAGAGACAUAAAGUGAUCCAUAGGAUCACCCCCUUUCUUAUGAGGCAUCGUGGGAGCUCCAGACGAGGUGAGUGAUCCUUCCCACCCCCAGGCCUGCCAAAUGCAGGAUAAGAAAAGAGCAACCAGCCUGUAAUCCACUCUUUGAAGCAUUAGUCAUUGCAUAGUAACUUCCUUUAAGUGAAAAUAUGAAUUGCUGUUCAUAUAAAGGCCCCAUUUAUUACAUAUCUUGCCGGAGGGUCCUAUCCUCAGACUGCAUGAAAGCUGGGAUUCUCAAUGUCAUCAUUGCACAAAUAAAAACCCUGUGCUUUUUAAACUGUUAAGUUCUCUUUGAAGGGCGAGGUGGAUGCCCAAUCAGAGCAUGAAAUUUUGAGUCAAAGGCCCAUUUCAAGAUGAAGUAGAUGCUUCAUCUUCACACUCAGUUCUCUUUUAUCCUCUUGAAUAAAAAAGGUGGUUAUAUUUGGAUAUGAAGUCACUGUUAAUUGGCUGUUUUAUGUUGGAAGGAAAGUCGAUUCAUUUGAUGGGGAGAUGAUGAGAUUGGGAUAUUUUAUUGACAAAUGCUUGAGCGAGAAGUUAGAUGGGCCUCACUGCUGAUCUAAUUCAGUGGUUAAAAUGACUGAACACAUCAACACCAAAUCUGUUACUUUUCAACAUAAUGCAAGAGCUCUUAUAUUCACCCCUGUGGAUGACACUCUGUUUUCUCUGGAGGCUUGGACAUCAGGAGAGCAUGGAAACUGCCAUGAAGGACAGGUGUCAGCCAUCCAAGCCAGUACUAUUUAUUUAACCCAUGAGCUUGAGUGGAGACCCGGACUGCCCAGGAGAAAUACCUGUGGGCCUUUUCAAAUCAUGGAGACCUGUAUUUUGCUUCAACCAGUGGUUCUCACACUUUAGCAUGAGCACCAUUCCCUGGGGGGCUUAGUGAAAUGCAGAUUUUUGCCCCCAUCUCUGCAUCCUCCCCCACCUUCCUAGUUUCUGAUUCAGUAGACCUGGGUUGGGCCCAUUUUCUAAAGCAUUCCGCAGCAAUCCAGAUGCUGCCUUCCAGAAGCCAGGUGUUAGGAACUACAGCUAUACAUCUGUUGAGCCCCCUCUCUGAGAUUCAUUCUCUGCCUCAGUUGUGUAAAUAUCCCAGGUGACUCUAAUGAGCAGUAAGGGGUAAGGACCACAGGGAGCUCCCCUCCCCACUCAUAGAAAGCAAAAUGGAGUGUUGUCAUCUCUAGGUUCUUCUUGUUUACUUUGAGGUAGACAUGCUAGUGAGGGCCCCUAAGACCGCAGGGAGUAGAAAAGCAUGGAGACACUGAAGAUUGGCUUAAUCACAAGCUAGGUGUCCAGCCACCCAGGUAAUCAGAGAAGUCCUGAAUGGAUUGCCUUCCACGGCCACACACUCAGCCCGGAACCUGCAGUGUUUUCUAACAUCUCCAGUCAGCAUUUGGGUGGGUUGCUGAUGGACCUGUUUAGAUCAUUGCUUCUAAAAUUUGGUGGCACAUUCAAAUCAUAGGGGAAAACACGGAUGCCUCAGUCCAUUCCCAGAGAUUCGUAUUUAAACAGUAUGAGUGUCCCCUGGCCCUUGGAUUUUUAGAAGCUCACCGGGUGGUUUGAAUAUGCAGCAGAAUUUAAGAACCGCUGUAAAUAGUGACUCUGGACAAAACCAGGAUGAUUUGCUUGGGUAGCCAGUAACCUUUAGGUUGGUUCCUGCUGGGACGAAGCUGGCAGAUGAGCUUUUGAAACUGUUGUGACUGGUCAGAGCUACUGUUCAGAUAACGUGACUGCACUUCUCUCAAUAUUGUGCUGGCACAGAUGAUGCAGCAGAAAAGGAGGGACAGUGAAGUGCUCUUCUCUGGUCUUUGGGCUGUAUUUCACAGAGGCCCAGUCAGUCCAAGUAUGAAGCUGUACAGGUACAUCCCUGCCACAGAAGGAAAGCAGGGACCCACAGCUCUCUGCCUGAAUUCCUCUCCAGAAAAGAGGUCUUGAUGCUUUGUUUUGAGGUUAAAAUCCAUCCGUCUAAAGGACAGAUAUCUAGAAGUAUCACAGGUCUUUCCACCAUUUCUCCUCUCCCCUCCCUUUCUCUCUUUUAGUUUUGUGUCCUGAAAAAUUAUAGGAAGAAAUGGAAAGUGACACCUUGAGAACCACCAGGCCAGGCCUGUAGGGGGAUGAUGCGGGUGAAAGAUAGGAAUCUGGUUUCUUCUUUCAAGGAGCCCACAGUUUAGCCAGGGAGAUAAGAUCCGAACAUAUCAAAUGUCAAAAAUAGCAAGACAAAGUCCAGGGCCAAAGGAAACAUGGCAUUCGCUGGUUUAAGGGAAGAACUGCUCUUUGGGGGGCGGAGGUGGCCAGUGACAGAGUGACAGCAUCAGGGGCUGGGGAGGUGGCAGCAGCCCUGCAGGUGAGCUGCGGGGUGGGAGAGUGAAGAGGGCGUUUUCCGGGAAGUCACUCAGAGUAGAGGUGUGGAGCGUGCCCAGGUGGGCUCGGGGACAGGAGAGACCUGAACUGGGCGCAGCAGAACAUACUGGGGCACAGUAAAAGCAGAGCAGGGGAGCCAGGCUAUUUUGUGGGGCCUUGGACGUCUGCUAAGGAGUGAGGGCUAGAGCUGUAACCUGAGAAAAGGUAGUUCCUUCUUGUCCAGUCUCGUUUCCCAUGAGCCAACUACCUUUUCUCCACUGUUAGAUUUUUCUAACAGUGAAAAUAAUGCCAUUAUUAUUAGACUAAAAUAUAAAAUGUGUCUACUGAACACUACUGACUAAGCCUGCAUUUGUUUCUUCUGUUUAUUAUUAAUUUGUGUGAAGCAGCUAUAGGACUGCCAAAAGGCUUGCUAAGGGCAACUCAGGAGCUACUUUGGAAAGACACCCUGGCUUUCUGGGACAUUCCUGGUGUUCUGUUGGUUGAUUCUGUGGUAUAUUCAACAGGGUUUUAAUGAUCAGAUGAUAUGAAAAUGACUGGUUGAAAGUGAAAAAAAGCACUUCAUUUAAAUAUUUAUUGUAUCUCUAUGGAAUAAGCUUGCAUCCCAAAUUGCUUGGGAGAUUGGCUGAAUUUCAAAUUUCCUGUCACUCUGACUUUCAAAAUGGGUGUCAUGGAAGUACUUUCUCCUCUAUUCCAUGUUAUUGCCUGUGGCACUUGGCACUUACAGAUUCACACUCUGUAACCCUCCCUCCCGAGAAAUGAGAAUUUAAGACACCCUCCAUAAUGGACUGUUGUCGCUUCACCAUCUCAGCUUCCAUUUGGUCUUUGGUCCCUGAGCACUUCCUUUGCAAUAACCUUAAUUUCAUCAACUGCUCAUUAUAAAUCUACGCAAUUUUCUUGACUCUGUGAACCGGAAUGGGAAAGGCUCUUGAAAUCCUGUUCUACGAGAGACCAGUUGAAGGAAUUGGUGAAGGCAAACAAAAGUUGAACGUCCCGUGCUCAGAUCUAUGUGGUUUUGCCUGUGCUUUUCUCUGUGCUGCGAGAUUAAGAGCUCCUUGAGACAGGGAUGGUGUAAGUGUUUAUUAAGCGUCGGUGGAAUUAAAUGUCAAGUCAAAAACAGUGCAGGGUAUUUUUAAAGGCUUGUUCUGUGGAGGAUACCUAAGCCGCCAAGGAUUUUAUGUUCCUUCUUAAUUAUGAAGUGCAGAUGCCUCCCUUGAAGGCAGAAUCUUCACUGGAAAUUAUUGCUGAUAUAAAGUCAGGCCAAGAGCAAUCUAGAGGUAGAAGGACACAUAUCCUUUUGGUUCCAGCUUCAAUGCCGCUCAGUGUUUUUUUUUGUGAAAGUAAAGGAAAUCUGGGCAUGUUCCCUUGGUGGCACUUUCUAUAUCUGUUAUCUGGUUUAAGUAAGGAAUAUAAAUGUGAUCCCCAGCUCAACUGGAGACAAGCCCCACAACUGGGUUAUAGCUCUUCAGGAAAGACUUUUUUUUUCUUUAUAGGGCCGUGCCGGUGGCAUUGGGAGAUUCCCAGAGUAGGGGUUGAAUUGGAGCUGUAGCCAUUGUCCUAGGCCACAGUCACAGCAGUGCCAGAUCUGAGCUGAGUCUGUGACCUAUACCACAGCGCAUGGCAACACCAGAUCCUUAACCCACUGAGCGAGACCAGGGAGCCAACCCACAUCCUCAUGGAGACUAUGUCAGGUUUCUUAACACAAUGAGCCCCAGUGGGAACUCCAGUGAAGAUUUCUUUUUUUUGUCUUUUUGCCUUUUUCUAGGGCCGCUCCCACGGCAUAUGGAGGUUCCCAGGCCAGGGGUCCAAUCCAAUCUGUAGCCACCAGCCUACACCAGAGCCACAGCAACUCGGGAUCCAAGCCUUGUCUGCGACCUACACCACAGCUCACGGCAACGCUGGAUCCUUAAACCCCUGAGCAAGGCCAGGGAUCGAACCCGCAACCUCAUGGUUCCUAGUGGGAUUCGUUAACCACUGUGCCACCACGGGAACUCCCUGAAGAUUUCUUUAUUGUCAACUAUUUUCAGACCAACUCCAG